rnacentral:rRNA from 1 species
GUGGGGAAUAUUGGGCAAUGGGGGAAACCCUGACCCAGCAACGCCGCGUGAGGGAAGAAGGUUUUCGGAUUGUAAACCUCUGUCCUUGGUGACGAAGGAAGUGACGGUAACCAAGGAGGAAGCCCCGGCUAACUACGUGCCAGCAGCCGCGGUAAUACGUAGGGGGCAAGCGUUGUCCGGAAUGACUGGGCGUAAAGGGCGUGUAGGCGGCCGAUUAAGUCUGGAGUGAAAGUCCUGCUUUCAAGGUGGGAAUUGCUUUGGAGACUGGUGGGCUGGAGUGCGGAAGAGGUAAGUGGAAUUCCCAGUGUAGCGGUGAAAUGCGUAGAGAUUGGGAGGAACACCAGUGGCGAAGGCGACUCACUGGCCCAAUACUGACGCUGAGGCGCGAAAGCGUGGGGAGCAAACAGGAUUAGAUACCCCUGUAGUCC